UGACAAGUAGAUAAAAAAGAUUUUAGAAAUUUACUAAAAAACCUGAGUUUGCCUUGCAGAUGAAGGCAAUGGCAGUAUUGGAGGUUGUGCUUCUGAUGUAACUGGAGCAGAUUGUUCCAACCUAGCUGAUGAUGAUGCCUGAACCACCUCAACAUCUUUAUCCACGUUGUUAGAGGGUGGUGACAAAGAAACUGCAGCAGAUCCAGACUGCAGCAGUUGGCCAGGAGUAACCAAUACAGGUUUUGGCUGAUCUUGACUAACGGAACUAGAAACACCAGCAACAGGACCAGAUGUUAAUUGUGCUGUCUGCGGUACAGAAAUGGGACCAGUAACUACACUAGGCUUGUCAGACAGUGGAAGGCCAGCACUUGUAUCGGUAACUCUAGUACUUGGUACAGAAAAGGGAAGCAAAUUAGUAUCCUGAGGACGGGCAGGAGGCACAGAAAUAGGAGCCUUGUUCGAAAACAAAGGAGGUGCCAUAUCUGAAGCUAGGGAAGGAGAUGGUGCUGAUUGCAGGCCUGAAGACAGCGUCAUAGGUAGACUAGUAAAAGGCAAAGAACUGGGUGCUGGACUUUGAGAACUACUGCUAAAAGGAAACAAUGAAGAGGGUGGUUCCGGCAAGCUUGAGCCCUGAAAAGUUGAUGAACCAGCAGGUGUAGGGGCAUUAAAGUUAGGAUAUUGCAAGGGUUGCUGUAGAGAGCUGGGCAUUGGCAGUCCAUGAGGGGGUCGAAUCAGAGACUGUUGAUGCAACUGGGGAAGACCAUUGGGAGGUGGUGAGUAGAAUCCUUGCCAAUACAUUGGCGGUUGUGGCGAUGCUCCCCAAGAAUUAAGAUUUCCACCAGGCUGAUACAAAGGCAUUGAGUUUUGGAAUCCCAUCCCAGGUUGUCCAUUAUGAGAACUAAUGUCAGGCAGAGGAUUGCUCGCUGCAGGAGGCAAGCUACUCGAUGUAGGCAUAGGGCUAGGGUAGUGAGACUGCAAAACAAGAAGAGGAUACAUCAAAGUGAGACUAAGGUCGCAAACAAGAUCUCUCUAUAACAUUUCCACAAUUCACCUGGAUGAUAGCAGGGUCAUUGUUUAUAGUAGGUGGAGCUGGAGGUUGUACAGGUGGAGAGGCUUUGACUUGCAAAUCCUGCCAACAGCAAGAAGAAUCAGUGUGCACAAACAGUGAUAAUAACAUCAUAGCAUAAGCACAAUCCUGAUGGAUACCUUGAUAUCGGUUCCACGGAACAAUAUGUACUCAUAAACUUUGUCACUAGGAGGAACUUGAGGACCAUCUUUCUUCCUUCCUUCGGUUCCAAACGAUCGGACUACAAUACAUUCAAAAUUAAAGGCAUCAGGAAAUCUCAAUCUCACUAGACCUAAGCUCUCAUUUCAAAGCAAUCCUGCGACUUAAUCGAAACGAAAUCGUACCGUUCUGGAGUCCGAUACCAAGGUAAUUCAGACAUCAUCAAAUGCAAGAUAAGAUCAUGUUAAGUGUUCAUUACGCCACAAAAACACUUCUAGAUAAUUCAAGGCUCUUUCUCAUAUCAAUAAGUGAGUCGGCAAGAUCAUAUACAAGACUGACAAGUAGAUAAAAAAGAUUUUAGAAAUUUACUAAAAAACCUGAGUUUGCCUUGCAGAUGAAGGCAAUGGCAGUAUUGGAGGUUGUGCUUCUGAUGUAACUGGAGCAGAUUGUUCCAACCUAGCUGAUGAUGAUGCCUGAACCACCUCAACAUCUUUAUCCACGUUGUUAGAGGGUGGUGACAAAGAAACUGCAGCAGAUCCAGACUGCAGCAGUUGGCCAGGAGUAACCAAUACAGGUUUUGGCUGAUCUUGACUAACGGAACUAGAAACACCAGCAACAGGACCAGAUGUUAAUUGUGCUGUCUGCGGUACAGAAAUGGGACCAGUAACUACACUAGGCUUGUCAGACAGUGGAAGG
rnacentral:lncRNA from 1 species